GACGAACGCUGGCGGCGUGCUUAACACAUGCAAGUCGAGCGGAAAGGCCCUUUCGGGGGUACUCGAGCGGCGAACGGGUGAGUAACACGUGAGUAAUCUGCCCUGCGCUCUGGGAUAGCCACCGGAAACGGUGAUUAAUACCGGAUAUGACCGGCUCAUGCAUGUGGGUUGGUGGAAAGUUUUUCGGCGCAGGAUGUGCUCGCGGCCUAUCAGCUUGUUGGUGAAGUAAUGGCCUACCAAGGCUUUGACGGGUAGCCGGCCUGAGAGGGUGACCGGCCACACUGGGACUGAGACACGGCCCAGACUCCUACGGGAGGCAGCAGUGGGGAAUAUUGGACAAUGGGCGGAAGCCUGAUCCAGCAACGCCGCGUGAGGGAUGACGGCCUUCGGGUUGUAAACCUCUUUCACCAUUGACGAAGCUGCAUCUUUUUGGGUGUGGUGACGGUAGGUGGGGAAGAAGCACCGGCCAACUACGUGCCAGCAGCCGCCGUAAAAC
rnacentral:rRNA from 1 species